GACAGACUAGCUCUAUGGUCAAGAGCGUGCAGCCCAGAUCCCGGCUGCCUGGGUUUGAAUCCCUGCUCUGUCA
rnacentral:tRNA from 1 species